AGGCCUCAGGACAGCACUUGUUCAUCCCAGCUCUUGGAGAUGCUCACUGGGUUCAGAGGCUCGGCCUCCACCGACGCCUCUCCUGGGUGUGGCCUGGGCAGAGAAAGCGAGCAAGGACCACCGCAACACAAUGAAGACAUGGAAGCAUAAGGAGCUUAAGUGAACUGCCCAGUAUUGUCCCCUGGACAGGAAAACAGUGGGGCUGAAAUCAAAGGGACUCCUACCAGGCUCCUGGUCACAGAAAUUAUGAUCAGAUGACUACCAACCAUCACCACUUUCUCUAGGGAGUCAGUUUAGGAAAUGGAUAACUGGCUGAUUUGCAUGAACCAAGACUGAAGCAAGCACACAUGGGGCUGUCGUCUGUGGAGAGUCAGAUCCACUGGGCUGGACUCGACAUUGCAGAACUGCCAAUGACAUCUUAACACCUCUGAGAAGUAGGGGCACCUGGGUGGCUCAAUCGGUUAAGCAUCUGCCUUUGGCUCAGGUCAAAAUCCCAGGGUCUGGGAUCUAGCCCCACAUGGGGAUCUCUGUUCAAGGGGGAGCCUGCUUCUCCAUCUUCAUCUGCUUGCUGCUCCCCCUGUUUGUGCUCUCUCUAUCAAAUAAAAUCUUUAAAAAAAAGUCUGAGAAAUAACAGGGCUGCCCCCUGAGAUGCCUGGACACUGCUCUCUUGCCUCAUUUAGCAGCUUUUUUCUUCUUCUGUAGGAGUUGGAUUUUUGUUGCAUUCCUGAGCUCACCCACAGCUCUUUUUUGAGAAAAAAUAUGACUUAAAUACAAAGAGGCAAACUGAUAAGUCAGAGUCUGUCCCCAGCAACCCAUAAUUUGGAACAUUAUACUAAACCAUUACCAAAAUCUAUGUCUACAAUCCUAAUGCAGGUGGAGAACUUACCAAGUAAAUGUCAAGGGUGAAGAAUGGGCCCUAUCAAUUGGAUUGAAUCAACAAGCACUUUUUUUUUCCUUUGGCUAAGAAAGGAACUGGUAUCAAAUAUAAUAUAAAGAGAAAAAAAAAAGCAACUCUUUAGCUCACUAAAAAAUGUAUGCUUUGGAGCAUCUAUUGUGUAUUGGCUGUUCAGGAUGAAAAGACGAAAAAUUAAGGUCUUGUCUUUAAAUUAAUUAAUAGUCUUUCAAAUAACUGUCUAUUAUGAACUGGCUGGAAUAGAUGCAUUCUCAAGAUACCAAGGGUGCAGAUAGGAGAGAGCACUGAAGUCUGCCUGGUUGAAGAAUUUUCUGGAAGAAAGAGUGUCUGGGUCACAUCAGAGGACCAGAAAUAUAGGGUAGUGGAGGGGCAGGGUAGCAGGUAAGAGGUAAAACAGGUAGGUUUUCUUCGGAACCAGUAAGUGCCCACCACAGAGGAAAGCAGGGUUGAUCUGUUUGGAAUUGUAGGAGCUGAUAAGGGGGAGAAAAAUGAAACUGAAGAGAGACAUCCAGUGGCCACAUCACACUGGCCUCUCAUGACUAUUCAAAGCUCAAAAUCUCCUUAAAAAUGGAAAUAACAGACAUCUCUAUGUGGGGAUGCUGGUCUGAAGGACUGUAUACUCCUUGAGUCCAUGGCUCUUCUCUUCUUCACUCUAAGAUGUUGGACUGUUGCAAAAAAGCAGAAAGAAAAGGAAAAUUAUGCCCCAAUUCCUGUUUCCUCCCCUUUUGACUGCUCCCCCUUGAGAACUAAUCCUGAAUGGCACUUCAAUGCUCUGAUUUUUACACAGAGCUUUGUUAAAAAACAAAAUUCAGCUGAGUAAAUUUGAAAAUCUAAUUGGCUGUAUUCAAAGAUUCAUGACUCAGGCAGCAUCCCAUGUAGCAGACAGAAAGAAGCUCUGAGAAGCUGAGCAAAAUACUGGGCAGAAGGGGGUAAAGAAUGGAUUGUUUCAGGCAUGGUCACCUUCCUCCAAGGGAUGAAAAAGGUCUAGAAAGUGGAUUACUUCCUUGGUACUGACCAGGAAAUUUGAGACUGACCAGUUAGGAUUAUAUUCCCAGAGGAGGUUGAAACUUCAAUUAGGUUAGGUAUUAAGUCUUGGUCUGGGCUUGGCAUGGAUGACUCCAUUUUGGGCCUGUUAUCUCUUUCUAACAGCUUCAACCUACAGCAACUGUUACUGGGGAGAGGGCGGGAUGGCAUCUCUUGAGCAAAUAUCCUUAAGAGUGUGAACCCAUGGAAAGGGACAUCACAGAUGUCCUUUUUAGGUCUGGCUACCAGAAAUAAGCCAGUAAUAAUAACUUUCCACAAUCAGUGCAGAACGGUGUGGGAUAUUCUCUAUCCCUCUUAUUAAUUCCACUGUCUCCUUCUCCUACCCCAGUGCUUCAUCAUUUGAGGAUUUAGUGAAAGGCAUAGAUUCCAGACAAAGUAAGUUUUUGCAUUUUAUUUUCCCCGUUGUUGCCUGACUGACAUUGGGGAUGCAGAUCAAGCAAGAGAGAGUGCCUCUCUUUUCCCCUCUGCACUCUCCAUCAUCCUGCAAUCCUAUUAUCUUUAAAGGAAAAGAAAUGAUUUCUUUGCCUAGGUACUCAUCCCGUAUCUCUCCGACAUGGGACAAGUAGGCCUUCUAUUUUCUGGCAGAUUAAUGAAGAGGAAGCAUCUUGUUCAGCAGGCGUCCCUGAUUGGAGCCCUUAGACCAACCUGAACACAGAAAUUGUGAGCUUGAAGGGAUCCCUGGGUGGCUCAGCGGUUGACUGUCUGCCUUCGGCUCAGGGUGUGAUCCUGGAGUCCUGGGAUCAAGUCCCACAUCGAGUUCCCUGCAUGGAGCCUACUUCUCCC